UGGGGAAUAUUGGACAAUGGGCGAAAGCCUGAUCCAGCAAUGCCGCGUGAGUGAUGAAGGCUUUAGGGUUGUAAAGCUCUUUUACCCGGGAAGAUAAUGACUGUACCGGGAGAAUAAGCCCCGGCUAACUCCGUGCCAGCAGCCGCGGUAAUACGGAGGGGGCUAGCGUUGUUCGGAAUUACUGGGCGUAAAGCGCACGUAGGCGGCUUUGUAAGUUAGAGGUGAAAGCCUGGUGCUCAACACCAGAACUGCCUUUAAGACUGCAUCGCUUGAAUCAUGGAGAGGCGGGUGGAAUUCCGAGUGUAGAGGUGAAAUUCGUAGAUAUUCGGAAGAACACCAGUGGCGAAGGCGGCCCGCUGGACAUGUAUUGACGCUGAGGUGCGAAAGCGUGGGGAGCAAACA
rnacentral:rRNA from 1 species